rnacentral:tRNA from 1 species
GGGGGUAUAGCUCAAGUGGCAGAGUGUGUGCUUAGCAUGCACGACAUGAGGUCCUGGGUUCAAUCCCCAGUACCUCCU